GCCUAAUACAUGCAAGUCGAACGAACUCUGGUAUUGAUUGGUGCUUGCAUCAUGAUUUACAUUUGAGUGAGUGGCGAACUGGUGAGUAACACGUGGGAAACCUGCCCAGAAGCGGGGGAUAACACCUGGAAACAGAUGCUAAUACCGCAUAACAACUUGGACCGCAUGGUCCGAGUUUGAAAGAUGGCUUCGGCUAUCACUUUUGGAUGGUCCCGCGGCGUAUUAGCUAGAUGGUGGGGUAACGGCUCACCAUGGCAAUGAUACGUAGCCGACCUGAGAGGGUAAUCGGCCACAUUGGGACUGAGACACGGCCCAAACUCCUACGGGAGGCAGCAGUAGGGAAUCUUCCACAAUGGACGAAAGUCUGAUGGAGCAACGCCGCGUGAGUGAAGAAGGGUUUCGGCUCGUAAAACUCUGUUGUUAAAGAAGAACAUAUCUGAGAGUAACUGUUCAGGUAUUGACGGUAUUUAACCAGAAAGCCACGGCUAACUACGUGCCAGCAGCCGCGGUAAUACGUAGGUGGCAAGCGUUGUCCGGAUUUAUUGGGCGUAAAGCGAGCGCAGGCGGUUUUUUAAGUCUGAUGUGAAAGCCUUCGG
rnacentral:rRNA from 2 species